rnacentral:lncRNA from 1 species
CAUAGAAACAUUGUACUAAUUGCCAUUUGGGUAUUUGAUGAUGCGGGCAUUUUCGGAGUAAAUCUCUAAAUUUCUUUCAAGUUUCAUCAAAUUCUUUUCCGUCAGAUUGGGAGAAGCUCGUGAUAGCACGCCUAAAUUGGUUUGUUCUUCCUAUGGAAAAAUAUUUUUUUAGAAAUUCAUGUUGCAUUUGGGCCCAUGAAAGAAUGAAAUUGGCUUCUAAUGAAUGGAGCCACUGCUUAGCUCUAUCCUUAAGAGAAAAAGGGAAUAGCCUAAGUUUCAGAGCAUCGUCAGUGAAGUUCUGAAUUUUGACAGUGGUGCAGAUCUCAAGAAACUCAUCUAAAUGUAUGUAUGG